AUGCGAUAAGUAAUGUGAAUUGCAGAAUUCCGUGAAUCAUCGAAUCUUUGAACGCACAUUGCGCCCGCUAGUAUUCUGGCGGGCAUGCCUGUUCGAGCGUCAUUUCAACCAUCAAGCCCCCGGCUUGUGUUGGGGACCUGCGGCUGCCGCAGGCCCUGAAAUCCAGUGGCGGGCUCGCCGUAGCACCGAGCGUAGUAGCAUACUUCUCGCUCCGGUAGCAGCGGCGGGCGCCUGCCGUAAAACCCCCCUUAAAAUCUCAAGGUUGACCUCGGAUCAGGUAGGAAUACCCGCUGAACUUAA
rnacentral:misc_RNA from 1 species